rnacentral:lncRNA from 1 species
GGGAUUAGGUGUGAGGCCCACUCCAUAUCGAAUUUCAACGAUCCGAACCGUCUAUUUUAUAAGUCUCGAUUCAUAGAUCUUCCUUACAAAAAUUCAAUUCAAUCCAAUACCAUUUUCCUAUUUAAUUAUCAAGAUCAAAUUUCUUUGAACUCAAUUAGAUGUCUUAAAUAUUUCUGAUUUGACUAAUAUUUUGCAAGGAUGAUCUAUGAGGUACAACUUGAAAAAUAAACGGUUCAAAUCGUUAAAGUUCAAUGUGGUGUGAACCUCACAACUAAUCCCCAUUUUUAUAUAAAAAAUAGGGAUCGCGUCCCUUAAAGGUUUCCUAUAUAUAUAUAAAUGGUUCUUUAUAUAAAAAAUAGGGAUCUCGUCCCUUAAUGGUCCUAUAUAUAUAUAUAUAUAUAUAUAUAUUAUUGAGCACAUUUUAGUAAUAUAUAUGUGCAAUUAUAUUUUAUUAUAUCAAAUAUAGAUAAAUUAAUAUUGAAUCAAAUAACAUUUUAUUUAUUUAUUUUGUAGGUAAAUUAUUUUGCAUGUAUUAUUACAUAUACCGGGAAUAUUUUAAGAUAAUUUAGCCAAAAGUCAACAAAAACUUUACAAUUUAAUCAUAUAUCAAUGACAUAUUUUUGUUUUGAAAUUAAUCAAUGAUAUAUUUUUAUUAAUUAGAGAUAGGUCAAUAAUGAAUGUCACAUGUGCUUUAUGUCAUUACCAAUGGGGAUGAAGGACAUGGUGAGAAGAGCAAUCACCAGUGCAGGGAGGGCAAGCAGAAGAGGAGGAAGAAGAAAAGUGGGAGACAGUGACUAAGCCUUCCAUGAAGUGGCAGUAUAGAGGUGGGCCCAGUAUGUACCUGCCUACGCACAUCCCACCUAUCACCAACCCUGCCUUCACUAUCAACGGACUCAUCGCUAUCUCUCUCUCCUCAGCUUCUAAAUUUGAAUUGGAAUUAGCAGAAUUGGGAAUCGGUGACGUCGAUUCUCAAUGGUUCGACUGCCGGUGUUUAGUUGGGACUUGUGGAGAUCAAAGACAUGUGCUUUCUCAUAUAUGAAAGGCUGUGUAGUUCUGUAACUUCUUAAGGUCUUUACAUCUGUAAAGCACAAUGGGGUGAUGAUAUUGUAAAGUCAAUGUUUGAAGAAAGAAUUCAUUAAGUCAGGAAAACAUUUAGAUACCAAUGAUGAAACUUGAGUAGGAUAAAAAAAUAUUUUUUUGUAGUCGACUUGAUGCAUCAAAGAGGAAACAGUUUCGCAAAUUCUUGGAGCUUGACAAUUUCGAUUGCUAAUUAAGCAAUUGAAACUGUUUGGAUUUUUUUUCUCACCCCUUUCAUGAAACUGUUUGCGUACACAUUCGUGUUUUUUCAACCAUCAUUUAGGCGCCUAUAACGCGAAAACAGACAUUGUGGUCAACAAUUCAAAAUCAGAAAAUGCAGACUUCUAGGAUCAACAAUUGAAAACCAAAACAGAAAACGAACAUUGUGUUGCAGUGUCUGAAUCCAAAUGUAAAAAACAAAACAUGAAAUGAACAUUGCGUUGCAAUGUCUAAAUCCAAAUGUAGAAAUCAAGAGUCACGCGAGGUGUUAAGCAUAGAACGCAUGUGAGUGAUGCAAAAAAUAGAACCAGGAAACGGACACUUCAACACAGUGUCUGAAUCGAAAAAUAAAAAAACAAUACCAGGUAACAGAUACUACAUUACAAUGUUUGAAUCCAAAUGUAAAAAGGGGCACGUAUGAGGCAUGUGAGUGAUGGAAAAAACAAAACUAUGAAAUGGACACUGCAACACAGUGUCUAAAUUCAAAUGUAAAAAACAGAAUUAGGAAAUAUGAGACAUCUGGUGUCGGUUGAAGUGGGUGCCAGCUGUAAUGUCAGAUUUUGUAAUUUUUGUUUAUUUUAAAUGUAUUUAAGUGUCACAAAUAUAUGAUUGACCUAUUUAUAAUUAACAUAAAUAUUGUUGAUCUAUUGUCAAUAUGGUAACUUUGUAUUGAUUUUAUACAAAAUCACCCAAUAUUUUAUUACUAACACAUAUGUCCAAAUAAUUUACCUAUAUUUUUAUGUAAAUUACUCCAUAGUCCCUUUUUAGUUUUCAUUUGGUAAGAAAAUGACAAGAUUAAAUUAAAAUUGUCUAAUUUCAUGCAAAUUUGGAAAACAAUUAUGAAAUCUAAAGGAAAGUUUAACAUUAAUGUUUAUUUAUUUAUUAACAUACAAUUUGUUAUGAUAUAUUAAUAUGCAAUGAAUUUAAAUAUUAAUACAUUUUUUUCAUUAAUCCCUCCCUUCAAAU